UCAAAACAAAAUAAGGUGAUAAGGUGUUCCUCCUAGGGACCUAAUAUGCAGUGGCUAUAAACAUCAGCAACCUUGGUGUAUUUGGCCUCUUUCUUAUAUGAGUUUCCCUAAGGAAACUUGAAGACAAUU
ensembl:snoRNA SNORA70 Small nucleolar RNA SNORA70